AAGGAUCAUUAACACGAAACCCACGUUUCAAACCAAUCUGUGCUCUUGUAACCUUCUAGUGAGAGGGGAGCUCAUUUUUUUCGGAAAAUGAACCUUUCUUGCUUUUUAUUUUUAAAACCCCUUGUAUCAUUUAUUGACUGAACCUUGAAAGUUCGAGUGACAACCAACUGUGCAAACGGUAGGAUAGAACUCACUUUUGAUAUUACGAAACUAUGAACAACUCUUAGCAACGGAUAUCUUGGUUCUC
rnacentral:misc_RNA from 1 species